rnacentral:rRNA from 1 species
UGGGGAAUAUUGCACAAUGGGGGAAACCCUGAUGCAGCGACGCCGCGUGAGCGAAGAAGGCUUUCGAGUCGUAAAGCUCUGUCCUAUGAGAAGAUAAUGACGGUAUCAUAGGAGGAAGCCCUGGCUAAAUACGUGCCAGCAGCCGCGGUAAUACGUAUGGGGCGAGCGUUGUCAGGAAUUAUUGGGCGUAAAGGGUACGUAGGCGGUUUUUUAAGUCAGGUGUCAAGGCGUGGAGCUUAACUCCAUUAAGCACUUGAAACUGAAAGACUUGAGUGAAGGAGAGGAAAGUGGAAUUCCUAGUGUAGCGGUGAAAUGCGUAGAGAUUAGGAGGAAUACCGGUGGCGAAGGCGACUUUCUGGACUUUUACUGACGCUCAGGUACGAAAGCGUGGGGAGCAAACAGG